UUAGCAGAUAGAGGGUGUCACGUGGUCAGCGCAUUGAAUCCCCACGGCCGCCAAUUUCGGUUUUCUAGACAAAGCUUUCUACAAAAUUUACAUAUACAACAAUCAUUGAGAAUAUGUGUAAUAGUGUUUCAUUAUUUCAUUAUAUUCUUCUGAUAAGCUUCAUCAAUACAAAAUUAUGCCACAAGGACCACAACCCCUUCUUUAUGCUAUGACAAAUUUUCUGACCCUUUCUAUCCAUAUAACUUUUAAAGGUAUACUGAAAACCAUCUCCACAAUCUGCCCAUUCCACCAAAUUAAUGUGUCCUGCAUUCCUCACUGAAUUUCUGUUGACCAUUUGCCGGUAUUAUAACAAAUAAUAUGUCAAGUACUUCUUUUGUAAACCAAAGAUAUCACAAUUAUUUAAUAUACCAGUUCAAAUUUUAAUCUAAUAACAGGAACCAUAAGUAUUAUUUUCUUCAUAAUCAUAACUUUCAUUAUUUAUAAGUCUCCUAUCAAAUUCAUAUGCACUGCAUUGUUUCAACACUAUCAGAAAUUCCACAUAAGAUGCUUACUAACUAUGAUUUUUCAGAGGAAGUGGUUUAGUGAUAACUUGCAUCCUACAUUGUACCAAUUCAUAUCACAUAUGAUGUAAUUCAGCAGUGAACAUUCUGAAAGAGUUGAUUUCUAAUAUACAUCCUACACUACUCUGAAGCAUACCACUGGAACUUGCACUACAGACGUUUUUAUAAUCAAGCCAUUUCUAUGAGUGAGCACUUUCAUAUAUUUGAACACCAAUAAUGAUUUUAAUUCAUUUUUGUAUUAGUAUAAUAAACUCAUAAUUAGCAUAUUGCUAGAGAAGUUUCUAUGUAACCACCAAUAUCAUCAGCUAUAACAAAUCUGGACUAGAUUUCAUGAUAACAUAUUUAUUACUUGUGUGAUAUUGAAAGUUGUUGUAUAAUUCUCCAGUAAUGAACGUGCAGAAGGACUGUAAAGGAACAUUGAGACUGUUCAUAUUUGGUUUUACAAUAAUUUCUGGAAUUGUUCUUCUAACUGUAUGUUACAUAAUGUGUCCAAUACUUCUUUCAAAGAAACCAGUGGAAUCAACAGAAAAUCAAGGAUGGUGAUGUGGAAGAUUCUGAGGAUGUCAUAUGAUUUGAAACCAUUCACAUACAAUCCAAAAAUACUCAAAUUUCUUAUAUAAAUGAAUAACAGAUAAAAUGGCAUAGUGAGACUUAAAUUGCCUAAGAUAUGUACAUGCUCAAUGUAGCUCUCAUCCUUUAAAAAUGUGUUUAAAUAAAAAAGUUAUUGUGCUUUAUUUCUUUCCUAUUAUGAUGUAUGAGUAAACUUAGUCAGCAAUGUCAAUUCCAUAACCAUAUAUAUACAAAAAUCUUAAUUUUAUAACAAAUUCUUUUAUUCAAGAAAGUUUGUUGGAAUGAUGUGAACAAGAAGAAAUAUAUUUCAUUCACUUCUUCCAGAAACAUUAGUGGCGGUUUGCAUUUCCAAGAUUAUGUAUUCAUUUAUCACUUCUACCUAAUAAAUUAUGUGGAAAAUAAAUAUGAAUGGAAAUGAUGGUUUUAUCAAAGGAGUAUUUAAAGAAUAUUUUGUAGUAUUACAUAUGCAUAUAUCUGUGCAACUCAGGUGUCUCUACAUAUUAGAUCAUAAAUAUAAGGUAUUUAGAACAUAGUAAUACAGUAUUUUAGAACUUAAUCUCACACAUUCAUGUCACUUCAUUAGUUACUACAAUGAAUUAGUUUUUUGUUUUUUUUUAGACAUUAAUUUAAUUAUACUGUUAUGUUGAGUUUGGAAGCAGAAAAUAAUUUUUGUACAGCAUAGGGGACCUUUCAUUAAAGUCUUAGUGCACUUGAAGCAUAAUUUGUAUGUUUAUACACAAAUAGCAUUUGAAGUUGUUAUGAGAUCGUGUUUUGAUACUUUAUUAAUCAAUAUGAAAUCAUCCUACUUCUUAUAUGUAAUAUUGAUCACAGACUAAUUAAAGCACAACAUGUUUACAUUUGUGUUUAUUUUAUAAUUAAGGAGUAUAGUUGAAAUGCUGAAUUAGUUAUAAAUGACAUGUUCAAAAAAUUGUAGAUAGCUUUCAGAUUUACGUUUGUUCUCAGCAUCCAUAUCUGGAAAUACAACAUUUUCUAAAGUGUAACAAACACAAGCAUCUGUCAACUUUCACAGUUGAUAUCAAUGUUGCCUCCUUAAAUGUCAGAGUACAGAUUUCUCUCAUAUUUCACUCUUCACAAGCUAUCUACUUAAGACUGGGUGAACAAAUAUCAUGUGAGAAACAGCUGCAAAUAUGUCUAAUUGAUCACAAGGCAUUCUUAAGCAUGACAUGUUUUGGGUGAGUGCCAUGUCUGUCAGCAAGUGGCUAGCAACAUUAGUGUUCACUGUUAACAAACUCCGAAGCAAAAAGAAGAAAUAACUGGAAUUGAAACCUAAAAUGAUACAUGAACCAUAGACACCACAAUUUAAGGCAUAUGUUAAUUUUUUAUUCUGUCUAAAUACACCCUAAACUGUAAAAUGUUCCAAACAAGAGUUAUACCAUGAAAGAUAAAAAUAUUUAUGGAUAUUUGUGUGAAUGGAGAAAUUGUAUGAACGAUUUUAUUUCGGUAUAAAGAGGGCUUAAGAAGCCUUUGUUGACAUUAAUCUGCCAGUCAAGUAGACUUAAGCAGUAGCACUUGUGAUUUAUAUUCAUCCUGACUGAGAUUUUUUAUUCUUUCUUCAGUCUUCUCAGGUAAAUACCAGAAUAAUGCUUUAAAUUAGGCUGCAACCACUUCUUUCCGCAUCCUUUCUAAUGAAUUUUUACAAUCAUUUAAUCAUUUGUCGCUAUAUAGUCCGAACUACUGUCAUCGUUGUCAAAUGUACUUGCUCAGAUUUUCACUAUGGAAGGAUGUAAUAACAACACAAAAGACAGUUUCAAAGAACUGUAUAAAGAAAUAAAUUUUUUCAUAAAAUAAUGUAUAUUAUUUUCUUUAAGCAAAUUAAAAUGAAAAACAUUUUAAAUAAAUUGGUUCACAUUUCCACAUAAUGCUAGCAGUCAUAUUCUCAAGAAUGACUUCUUCUUCUAUUCAAGAUAAAGGCCUGUUACCUUUACUGAGAUCUCUUCUGGCAUGCUGGGAUAUCAUGUAAUAGGUCAUGGCCACUUCCUUUUAUGCAACUGUUAAUUCACAAACCAUAAUGACCUUUUCAUUUGGUACUCUAAAACCUUUAUAGUUUAGAAGUAUCAUCAGAUAAACUAAAGAUGAAGCGAUGUACAUACAUUUUCAGAAAAUAUGAUAAUGGUCACACUGUAUUUGUAUUUUGUAUUUGUAUUUGUAUUUAUAUUUGUUCAAGAAAUCCAAAAAAGGAUAUAGAACAUGUCACAGAACUAAAUAUAAAACAGGAUACAUGCAUAAAUUACACGACUAGAUAGUACAAUGAAUCAAACAAUAACAAGUUUCAAAGAUCCAAAAAAUGGAUAUAAAACAUGUCAUAAAUAAUACAAAACAUAAAAUACUCAGUUAUGCUUAUCUGGAUCCAACAGUAUUCAACAAUAAUAAGUUACAAAGAUCCAAGAAUGGAUAUAAAACAUAUCAUAAAUAAUAUAAAACAUAAAAUACAUGCAUAGUUAUGCUCGUCUAGAUGAU